rnacentral:rRNA from 1 species
UACAGGGGGGGCAAGCGUUGUUCGGAAUUACUGGGCGUAAAGGGCGCGUAGGCGGUUUUGUAAGUCAGACGUGAAAUCCCCAGGCUUAACUUGGGAACUGCGUCUGAUACUGCAAAACUUGAGUGCGGGAGAGGGAUGUGGAAUUCCAGGUGUAGCGGUGAAAUGCGUAGAUAUCUGGAGGAACACCGGUGGCGAAGGCGGCAUCCCGGACCGACACUGACGCUGAGGCGCGAAAGCUAGGGGAGCAAACGGG